CAGAGCCAAAAAGUUAGAAUAAAGUCAUUUCGGAAAAAGGAAUUUUGAGACAAUGCUAAUCCUUUUGUCGUCAACUCUUCUUAACACAGAAUUUAGACUUUAAGAUGAAUUGGAUAAAAUUCGUAUCCAUAGAUGAGAUGACAAAUGACAACUUUUACUAAAUCUUCGAAUAAAUGUCCAAUACGUGAAGGAUGGGUGUUUGUUGCGGAGCUGCUCCUGGAGGAGAUCUUGCAUGGCUGAGUCGCAGUACAAUACAGUUGGUCCAGUAGCGGAAAGAUUCGUCCUCUUAAAGAGUGGAUAUGCUGUCAUCGUAUAUUUUACACGACGCUGAAAUUCCCCCUUAUAGGUAGAUAUUCCAAAAGAAGGAAAAUUUGUCCUUUUAUUAAAAGGAUAUGCUGUCAUCGUAUCUCAGACACUUCGCAGAAAUCCCACAAUAUAGCUCCAUUCCAAUUUUCCAAAUACAUAUCUGAAGAGACUAGGAAGGAUGUGGAAGAAGAGAAGUGGUCCCAGCAUACGUCUUUUUUUUAUAAAUUUUUUUUUACUUUUUAUUUUUUUAUGAGAUUUUUUUUGUGCUCCCAACCUUUCGCAGAAGUGCGACCAAGAAAGAGGGAUCUUUGGGAGUUGGCCUGAAGCGCUCAAGAAUUGGCGAUGACGUUAUUGCCCCGACGUGGGAUUCGCCGGUCGGUGAGUCGUUUUUUAUUUAACCCCUUCCCUGUUUAAAACAGUUAUUGUUUUAUGAUUUCAAUAAAAGUAGAUUCAUAUAAAUUUAAAAUUAAUUUUAUAGAUUUUCUUGAACUAUAAAUUUUUGAAUUUUUUUGAUUUUUAAAAAAGUAGAUGUAUCAUAUCGAUCUAAAUAAAAUAUUAAAAUUUAAAGAUAAAAACAGGGAAGGAAAUUCGACAACAUAGUGACACCAUUGACAAAAUUUAUUAUUUUCAAGUAUUGUUAGGAGUAAUCUAAAAAAACAUGUGACAUUUUCGGAAAUUUAACCCCUUCAUAAUUUGUAACACUCUCUACAUCCUAAAGUAUUACAUGUUUUGUGGAUU